rnacentral:rRNA from 1 species
GAAACCGUUUAGGGGUAAACCUGAGAAACCCGAAAGGUCGAAGGAAGAAAUUCAUUCGCGUUUCGUAGUUGACAUAGAAAAGAAUUGUGUGACGCUAAAAAUUGCUUGCAAUUUAUGCGCACUGUCUUUUUUAUGAAUUAAUUACGAACGUGUGCACUUUUCUUCUGGUAGGACGUCGCAAUCCGUUGGGUGUUGAUUUAAGGUACAUGGUGGAGUCCGUUUUACCUAUGUUGUUAAAUGGACCCAUGUUAUCCCAAUCAACUCACUCGACGGUAUACCAAAUGGUUUAAGGCCGCUUUUUUUUUGAGCGUUCGACUCGUAACAAUCGCAUUAGUUUUUUUGUUGAAGAUCGGACCUAGUGCCGAUCCCAACAGCUGAUGAUUGAUUGUUUAUGAAGAUUCUCGAACAGACCUUGUUAACCAAUUGGCGACGAUAUAGAUUUGGGUACUUUCAGGACCCGUCUUGAAACACGGACCAAGGAGUCCAGCAUAUACGCAAGUCAUUGGGACUAAAUUAAACCUAAAGGCAUAAUGAAAGUAAAAAUUCUCCUUGCGGGAAUUAAGGGAAGACAUGUAAUUUAUACCGUUAAAAGUUAAAUUAUUUUGCAUUCCUGGGGCGUCUCAUUUUCAGUAUUUUUUUAAUUUAUUAAAAUUAUGCGAAAAGAGGCGCACCAAGAGCGUAUACGCUGGGACCCGAAAGAUGGUGAACUAUGCCUGGUC